GAAGGUUCGUCCGCCCUGGGUUAGUCGGGACCUAAGCUGAGGCCGAAAGGCGUAGGUGAUGGACAACAGGUUGAUAUUCCUGUACUACCGAUAACCGUUUGAGAGAAGGGAUGACACAGUAGGAUAAGCUAAGCACACUGUUGGUUAUGUGUGCCCAAGCAUUGAGGCAGUCAAAGUAGGCAAAUCCGCUUUGAUAAUGCUGGGAUGUGAUGGGGAGCGAAAUUUAGUAGCGAAGUAGCUGAUUUCACACUGUCAAGAAAAGUCUCUAUCGAGGUUAAAGGUACCCGUACCGCAAACCGACACAGGUGGGUGAGGAGAGUAUCCUAAGGCCAGCGAGAGAACUGUUGUUAAGGAACUCGGCAAAAUGACCCCGUAACUUAGGGAUAAGGGGUGCCACCAUCAGGUGGCCGCAGAGAAUAGGCCCAAGCGACUGUUUACCAAAAACAUAGGUUUCUGCUAAGUCGCAAGACGAUGUAUAGGAGCUGACGCCUGCCCGGUGCUGGAAGGUUAAGGGGAUCUGUUAGAGCAAUCGAAGCAGUGAACUUAAGCCCCAGUAAACGGCGGCCGUAACUAUAACGGUCCUAAGGUAGCGAAAUUCCUUGUCGGGUAAGUUCCGACCCGCACGAAAGGCGUAACGAUUUGGGCACUGUCUCAACAACAGACUCGGUGAAAUUGUAAUUCCGGUGAAGAUGCCGGAUACCUGCGACAGGACGGAAAGACCCCAUGGAGCUUUACUGUAGCUUGACAUUGGGUCUUGGUACUACAUGUACAGGAUAGGUGGGAGGCUUUGAAACCAGGACGCCAGUUUUGGCGGAGCCAUCCUUGGGAUACCACCCUUGUAGUACUGGGACUCUAACCAUAGGCCAUGAAUCUGGUCUUGGGACACUGUCAGGUGGGCAGUUUGACUGGGGCGGUCGCCUCCCAAAAGGUAACGGAGGCGCUCAAAGGUUCUCUCAGUACGGUCGGAAAUCGUACGUAGAGUGUAAAGGCAAAAGAGAGCUUGAUUGCAAGACAUACAGGUCGAGCAAGGAUGAAAAUCGGACUUAGUGAUCCGGUGGUUCUGCGUGGAAGGGCCAUCGCUCAACGGAUAAAAGCUACCCUGGGGAUAACAGGCUUAUCUCCCCCAAGAGUCCACAUCGACGGGGAGGUUUGGCACCUCGAUGUCGGCUCAUCACAUCCUGGGGCUGUAGUAGGUCCCAAGGGUUGGGCUGUUCGCCCAUUAAAGUGGUACGCGAGCUGGGUUCAGAACGUCGUGAGACAGUUCGGUCCCUAUCCGUCGCAGGCGUAGGAAAUUUGAGAAGACCUGUCCUUAGUACGAGAGGACCGGGAUGGACGUACCUCUGGUGUACCAGUUGUCCUGCCAAGGGCAUGGCUGGGUAGCUAUGUACGGAAUGGAUAAGCGCUGAAAGCAUCUAAGCGCGAAGCCAACUUCAAGAUAAGAUUUCCCACCGCAAGGGUAAGACCCCAGAAAGACUAUCUGGUUGAUAGGUCGAAGGUGUAAGUGCAGCAAUGUAUUUAGCUUAUCGAUACUAAUAG
rnacentral:rRNA from 1 species